rnacentral:lncRNA from 1 species
ACUGUUCUAAGUUUAAUCCAUAUGAGCUAGCAGAGGAACCUAAUGGACCUAUAGAUCAUGGGCUCCAACGAUUCAAGAUUAACUAGCUAAACUCUUUUAAACCGAGUUAAUCAACAUUCGUUAACUAACGGGUCAUUCCACUAAAGUCUCGUAGUUGCACUCCCUCACUAUAGAUAUAUUUGUGUCCAUUUGAUAAAACCAUAAUCAGUAAGUUAAUCCUUCACAGGUUGCUCGUAACCUUGGCUGGGUCAAAAUAUCGUUUUACCCCCAAGAUUACAUCUUGCUCCUUAAGUCCCACUAAUCCACUAUUGAACAAUUGGUUUAAGGUUCAACCUAUAAACUUAAUCCCUCUCGGGCCAAUGAGAGUGGUGGGCCCCUUGUUCAACACUUGGAUUCAGUGCUUAAGAGAACAACCUAUCUACUAACUCUAAAGCGGGUAGGAGUGAAUUCCAUUUUGUACCCUAUGUUCCCAGCUAUCCACCCGAUCUUACCUCUAAAAUGGGAGGCUUAUUGGGCCAACGCUGAUGAACUGCCCUCACCUAUGCAGAUGUAAGGAUAAUCUCGUGUGAAAAGGAGUUCAUAGUUAACUCAAGAUUAAGACUAAGUUACCUAGGUCAUCAAUAAUUGAGAUAGUCAGUUUUAAACAGUAAACGGUGUUAUAACGUAAAAAAGACUAAUUCAUGGUUCAGUCUUAUGUAAACAUUUUACAUAGAAUGCCCCCACUUUCAUGUCUCUACAUGAACUAUUAGGAUCACCUCGUUUGUACUACAAAGUGGGCCGCAUCCAUAGUUUCUCUAAAUAAGGCGCCCAACCUUUAUUUCAUAUACUAUAAACUAUUUAGGCUAUAUACUCGAACUUGAUCCACGUUUAUGUUUACACAUAAAGUUCAAGUUUAUUCAAAAAUAGCUUUGGAACUUGAUUUAUUGGAUUUAAGAUUAUAAUAUUUAAUUUCUCAAUAACAACUUUAUUGAACAGAAUAUGAUUUACAAACUACGAGUUUUAGGACAAAAAAUUCCAACAAACCCCCACUUGGACUAAAAUUCCUAGUGGUAUGAGAGAUGUGGUGUGAGAGAAUAUAUAUGAAACUAGGGCAUAUGGCCAAUAAGUCUCCCACUUGUCCUAGUUUACAAACAUCGUAGACCUAAACUGUGUAGGUGACCCUCAAACACUUUAGCCGUGAGGGCUUUUGUAAAAGGAUGAACAAUGUUUUGCUGAGAAGAAAUCUGGGUUACUACAACGUCACCACGAUGUACAAUUUCCCUGAUAAGAUGGUACUUGCGUUCAAUAUGCUUUCCUCUUUUAUGGCUUCUAGGUUCUCUUGAAUUUGCAACUGCACCACUGUUGUCACAAUAUAAAGUUAUUGGUAGAUGCAUAUUUGGAACGACUUCCAAAUCUGUCAAGAAUUUUCUUAGCCAUACUGCUUCUUUUGCUACUUCACAAGCCGCUACGUAUUCAGCUUCCAUUGUGGAAUCAGCUAUACAAGUUUGCUUUAUGCUUCUCCAAACUACUGCUCCUCCAUUUAGAGUAAAUACUGAUCCUAAUGUAGACUUUCUAGCAUCUUUAUCAGUUUGAAAAUCUGAAUCAGUGUAUCCAGUAAGGAUCAGUUCCUUUGUAUCAUACAUGAGCAUGUAGUCUUUUGUUCUUCGAAGAUAUUUUAGAAUGUUUUAACGACUGUCUAGUGAUCACGUCCAGGAUUAGAUUGAUACCUACUGACCGUCCCUACUGAGUAGCAAAUGUCAGGUCUAGUACAUAACAUUGCAUACAUUAAACUUCCAACAGCGGAAGCAUAGGGAAUAUUUCUCAUAUCCUCAACUUCUUGAAGUGUCUUAGGACAUUGUUCCUUUGACAAAUGAAUUCCAUAUCUGUACGGCAGCAGACCCUUUUUGGAAUUCUGCAUUUUAUAUCUAGACAACAUUUUGUCUAUGUAAGAUGCUUGAGACAUGGCUAGUGUUUUGUUCUUACGGUUUCGAACAAUUUGGAUUCUGAGAACGUAUUGUGCAUCUCCCAGAUCUUUCAUUUGAAAUUGCAUAGCUAGCCAUUUCUUGAUAUCAGUAAGAUAUCCUACGUCAUUUCCAAUAAAUAGAAUAUCAUCUACAUAUAAGACUAAAAUGCUAUAAUGGAAUUGACGACCUUUUUGUAAACACAAGGCUCGUCAACAUUUUGUUCAAAGCCAUAAGAUUUGAUCGCAGUGUCAAAUCUUAUAUUCCAGGAUCUAGAUGCUUGUUUUAAUCCAUAAAUGGAUUUUUUAAGCUUACAAACCUUUUGUUCUUGAUCUUGUUCUAUAAACCCCUCUGGUUGAGACAUAUAGAUGCUCUCUUCAAGAUUACCGUUCAAAAAAGCUGUCUUGACAUCCAUCUGCCAAAUUUCAUAAUCAUAAAAAGUGGCGAUGGAUAAGAGUAUUCUAAUUGACAACGGGAGAGAAAGUUUCCUCAUAGUCUACUCCCUCUCUCUGGGUAUAACCCUUUGCCACAAGUCGAGCCUUAAAAGUCUGUACUUUACCGGCAUGGUCUCGUUUUCUCUUGUAGAUCCAUUUACAAUCAAUAGGUUUUACGUCAUUUGGUUGAUCUACUAGAGUCCAGACAGAAUUAAAGUACAUAGACUCCAUUUCGAGGUCCAUGGCUUUGAUCAUUGGUCACGAUCUACAUCUUUCAUUGCCUGUUUAUAGGUUAUUGGAUCCUCUAUGCCAUCGUCAGGUAUGACGACUUGAGUUUCAAUUAAACCCAAAUAGCGAUCAGGCUGAUGAACAACCCUCCCACUGCGUCGAGGCUCUCUCAACUGUUGAGAGGAUGUGAUUGACCAGAUUUCCUAGUCUUAUCAACUACCUUAGUGGAUGAACUAGGUUUAUCUAUAACACUUUUGGAAAUUUCUUUUAAUACUAGUUUACUACGAGGUUGAUGAUCCCUGAUGUGGUCUUCCUCUAAGAAUGUGGCAUUUGUUGAUAUAAAUAUUUUAUUUUCUUGAGGAUCAUAAAACAAACUACCUCUUGAUUCUUUUGGAUAACCUAUGAAAAAGCAUAAUUUUGAACGAUGUUCCAAUUUCUUAGAAUUUUGUACCAACACGUGUGCUGGACAACCCCAAAUUCUAAAAUGACGUAAACUUCGAUUACGCCCUUUCCAUAGCUUAUAAGGUGUUUCUGAAACACUUUUGGAGGGAACAUUAUUCAAAAUAUAAGCCGCUGUUUCUAAAGCAUAUCCCCAAAAAGAAUCUGGCAUAUGAGAAAAACUCAUCAUAGAGCGAACCAUGUCUAACAAGGUCCGAUUUCUUCUUUCUGAUACACCGUUCUGUUGAGGUGUACUAGGUGCAGAAAGUUGUGACUGGAUUCCAUUUUCUAUUAAAUAGUCUCGGAAUCGUAAGUCCAUAUACUCUCCACCUCGAUCUGAUCGAAGUAUUUUUAUUGUUUUACCUAAUUCGUUUUCUACUUCAGCUUAUAUUCUUUGAACUUUUCAAGACUAUUAGACUUAUGAUGUAUUAGGUAAAUAUGACCAUACCUUGAAUAAUCAUCAAUGAAGCUAAUGAAAUAUUCACCACCUCGAGCUAUGACAUUCAUUGGUCCACAAAGGUCCGAAUGUACGAGCUCUAAGGGUUCUUUGGCUCUUAGACCUUUUCCAGUAAAAGAUCUUUUGGUCAUUUUUCUUCAAGACAAGAUUCACAAGGAGGUAAAGAGUUAUUUUCUAACUGACUUAGAAGCCCACUUUUAACCAAUCUCCCAAUCCUAUUGAGAUUUAUGUGACCAAGUCUUAAGUGCCAUAAAUAGGCAUUAGAAGAAACUUUUUGUCUUUUAUUCUGAGUUUCAGCUGUUCUGAAUAUUUCAGUAUUUAAGAUAAAAUUUGAUCUGGUUAGUCUUAACUGAUAUAAGUUGUCUUCAAGUAUGGCAGAACAAACUAGAAUACCUUUAUAGAAAACGAACGCUUCACUAAUUUCAAAAGAUAUUCUAUACAUUUGUUCCAAAAUACAAGAGAUAGAUAUUAAAUUUCUUCUCAUUUGAGGUACAUAUAAGACAUUCGUAAGUAUGACACAUCACAUGCAUAAAAAAAAAACACCCUAAAAUGGACUGAUUUUUUGCUCCUAAAUUAAGCUAAGUACUAAAUUAUUACAUAAUUAAUUUGGUGUAGUACAGAACCACUCCCAAAAACUUCGAACCGGCUGAAAAACCAACCGAAACACCUUGAACCGACCCAAAAACCAAAUUUAUGGGCUUGAACCGGCCCAAUUAACUAAACAGGCCCAGGCGCACACGGGUCGGGCGCAGGCAGGCACGGGGACGCAGGCAGGCGCGCGGGCGCGCGAACGCAGGCGGUCGCGAAGCGAGUCAACGUCGGGUUUUCGGGUCUGUGACCUGAUUCUUCAUUUUUUUCAAUUCUCUCACCCGAUUGAACCAAUUACAGCCUAACUUCAACUCUAACUAUUUUUUUUUAUUUUAAAAAAAUUACAAACACUUUGCAACAAUAAAAAUAAGCCAUUAACAAGGCUAAUUACAAUAAUUAGAACAAAAACACUUAAUCUAGAGCCAAAAUCAUAAUAUAUCCAUUUUAGUUCAAACCAAAUUUUAUCUAAUAAAUAUGAACCCACCACAUGCAAUUGGGUAAAAAUGAAGCAUGCUCUGAUACCACAUGAUAGAACUAAGUCAUGCACAGCGGAAAAAGAAUCGAAUUUCUACCCAAAUUGCCACAAUUAACAUGUAACCAUAAACUAAUCAAAUUAGGGUUUUAAGAAAUAUUACCUUUGAAGCUUUCAAAAGGUUUGAUAUCUUCUUACCAAUUCUAACCGAGACCACCACUAGUACUCAACUGCUAUCCUCUAGACAAAGAACCGAGUUGUGGGACCCAAUUUUGGUGUAGAAAGUAAUGGAGCUAGCAGAGGAACCUAAUGGACCUAUAGAUCAUGGGCUCCAACGAUUCAAGAUUAACUAGCUAAACUCUUUUAAACCGAGUUAAUCAACAUUCGUUAACUAACGGGUCAUUCCACUAAAGUCUCGUAGUUGCACUCCCCUCACUAUAGAUAUAUUUGUGUCCAUUUGAUAAAACCAUAAUCAGUAAGUUAAUCCUUCACAGGUUGCUCGUAACCUUGGCUGGGUCAAAAUACCGUUUUACCCCCAAGAUUA